CUGUGACGGUGACGAAGACGGCGGCGGCGGCGACGGCAUUUAACAAGGCGGUGUGGUUUACUCCAUGCAGUUGUCAGGAGUUUUGUUUUCUAGGUCUAACAAACUGUAAAUGUUAAAAAAGCAAAGAUGGGUGAAAAAAAACCAGAGCCUUUGGACUUCGUGAAAGAUUUUCAGGAAUACCUGACUCAGCAGACCCAUCACGUGAACAUGAUUUCUGGAUCAGUUAGUGGGGACAAAGAAGCAGAGGCUCUUCAGGGAGCUGGAACAGAUGGUGAUCAAAAUGGACUUG
rnacentral:lncRNA from 1 species